rnacentral:tRNA from 1 species
CGGAGUAUAGCGCAGCCCGGUUAGCGCACAUGUCUGGGGGACAUGGGGUCGCAGGUUCAAAUCCUGCUACUCCGA